UCCCCUAGUAACUGCGAGUGAAGCGGGAAAAGCUCAAAUUUAAAAUCUGGCAGUCUUUUGGCUGUCCGAGUUGUAGUCUGGAGAAGUGCUUUCCGCGCUGGACCGUGUAUAAGUCUCUUGGAACAGAGCGUCAUAGAGGGUGAGAAUCCCGUCUUUGACACGGACUACCAGUGCUUUGUGAUGCGCUCUCAAAGAGUCGAGUUGUUUGGGAAUGCAGCUCAAAAUGGGUGGUGAAUUCCAUCUAAAGCUAAAUAUUGGCGAGAGACCGAUAGCGAACAAGUACCGUGAGGGAAAGAUGAAAAGCACUUUGGAAAGAGAGUUAAACAGUACGUGAAAUUGCUGAAAGGGAAACGCUUGAAGUCAGUCGCGUCGUCCGGAACUCAGCCUUGCUUUUGCUUGGUGCACUUUCCGGUUGACGGGUCAGCAUCGAUUUUGACCGUCGGAAAAGGGCUGGAGUAAUGUGGCACCUCCGGGUGUGUUAUAGACUCUGGUCGCAUACGGCGGUUGGGAUCGAGGAACGCAGCGCGCCGUAAGGCAGGGGUUCGCCCACUUUCGCGCUUAGGAUGCUGGCAUAAUGGCUUUAAACGACCCGUCUUGAAACACGGACCAAGGAGUCUAACAUACCUGCGAGUGUUUGGGUGGAAAACCCGAGCGCGUAAUGAAAGUGAAAGUUGAGACCCCUGUCGUGGGGGGCAUCGACGCCCGGACCUGACGUUCUCUGAAGGAUCCGCGGUAGAGCAUGUAUGUUGGGACCCGAAAGAUGGUGAACUAUGCCUGAAUAGGGUGAAGCCAGAGGAAACUCUGGUGGAGGCUCGUAGCGAUUCUGACGUGCAAAUCGAUCGUCAAAUUU
rnacentral:rRNA from 1 species